rnacentral:sRNA from 1 species
CAGUUUCAGGGUCUCGCCGGCAGCCGCAGCCGGCGGGCGCGGAGCGGGCAGCGGGGCCCGGACCGCAGGCUCCUCUGGGGGCCCCGGAGUUGGGAAGCGGCGUCCGGGAGCCCCCGGAGGAGGAUGGGCUGCAGACACAGCAGGCUGAGCAGCUGCAAACCCCCGAAAAAGCUAUAACUGUCCAGCUCUGUGCAUCAGAGGAGGCUGAGCAGCACCAGAAGGAUAUAACCAGAAUUCUCCAGCAACAUGAGGAGGAAAAGAAGAAAUGGGCACAACAGGUGGAGAAGGAAAGGGAGCUAGAGCUUCGAGACAGACUGGAUGAGCAGCAAAGGAUCCUGGAAGGAAAGAAUGAAGAGGCCCUGCAAGUCCUCCGGGCCUCAUAUGAACAGGAGAAAGAAGCGCUUACCCACUCUUUCCAGGAGGCCAGUGCUACCCAGCAGGAGACCAUAGACAGACUGACCUCACAGCUGGAGGCUUUCCAGGCCAAAAUGAAGAGGGUGGAGGAGUCCAUUCUGAGCCGAAACUGUAAGAAACAUAUCCAGGAUUAUGGGAGCCCCAGCCCAUUCUGGGAGCAGGAGCUGGAGAGCUUACACUUUGUCAUCGAGAUGAAGAAUGAGCGUAUUCAUGAGCUGGACAAGCGGCUGAUCCUCAUGGAAACAGUGAAAGAGAAAAAUCUGAUAUUGGAGGAAAAAAUCACGACCCUGCAACAGGAGAAUGAGGACCUCCAUGUCCGAAGCCGCAACCAGGUGGUCCUGUCAAGGCAGCUCUCAGAAGACCUGCUUCUCACACGUGAGGCCCUGGAGAAGGAGGUGCAGCUGCGGCGACAGCUCCAGCAGGAGAAGGAGGAGCUGUUGUACCGGGUCCUUGGGGCCAAUGCCUCGCCCGCCUUCCCCCUGGCCCCUGUCACUCCCACUGAGGUCUCCUUCCUCGCCACAUAGGGUGCAGGGCCAGGGCCCACCACAACGCCUGAAGUCACAGCUCCUUCCAAGGUUUUUCUGGAGAAGACAGCAGGAGCCUCUCAGUUCUUUUCCAGGAAGGAACGAGGGUGGGAGCGAGAUGGGGAUCCUGGGUAUGUGCCCAGUGAGCCGUGGGGCCUUGGGUUACAUGGAAUCACCCACAGGGUUUUGGAGGCCCGAGAAACAUCUUCCCUUGAGUUGGCCAAGGGAAUAAGCAAGAGGAGACAUUUCCUCCCUCCCCCGGUACUCUGUCCCAAUCCGAGAACUUCCGAGGCUUUCCCAGGGGCAGCCUGUGUCACGUUGGCCAUUUGACAUAAAGGAGACAGCCCCUGGACCCAGCUUGUCAGCUCUGCUGCCAACUCGCUGACUUGUCAACUUCCUCUAGGUGUUUCCACUCCACACUGGCCUGCUCAGAGCCUCAGUUUACCCCUGCAUUAAAAUGGUGGGGGGACUGGUCAAAGGACUCUUAUGUCACUGCAGCGUCCCAUUCUAGGAUUGUCUGAAGGCCAGAGUAGGGGUUGGGGGGAGUGUGGACAAACCCUGCAAAUCAGAGUGGGGAAGGUGAGUGGUGGAGAGGGGCCUCUGAAGGCCCUUGGGGCUGACAGGGCCAGGCAGCCUCCCCAACUGAGGCACCAUUCCUGGGCCAGAGUCGGGUCCACCAAGGGACAGUAGCCAGAGCUCCUCUUCCUUUACCAGGCAAGGUGCAUCCCCUCAGCCCUCCUGGCCCUUCAGUCUUGGUGCCACCUGGGCACAGGGGCAAGCUUGGUGGUUCUGAGUCCAUUCAUCUGUCAGAGCUGGAACCUCAUCCCUGCACAGAUGAGGAAACCAAGGCAUGGAGCAGUUCCCAGAGUCAAAUCUAGAUCUCAUCUGUCAUCCAGGUCUUAUCCUUUGCUCUGUUUUUCUCUUCAGGCUCUGGAAAAUCAGAUUUGUGACUUAAUCUUCCGACUGAAUCUUCCUCUCCCUGGCCCUCACCCACUUAGUUUCUUUUUCACUCCUGCUCCCUGCCUUAACUCCUCCUCCCACUGCCCCUGAUCCCAGGCCCAGGCUUUUACAACCUGGCGCUCAGCUCCCCCAUCAGUGACAAGGGGUGGCUAGAGUAACUAACCUCAGCAGGCCGUCCAGUCCUGAUAGUCUGUGGAUUUCGGAUCCUUCUCAGGAAGCUUCAUGUCUAAUGGAGACUAUAAUUAUAACUCCUGUUCUGCAUAGAGCAUUUGCAUCAAAGGCUUUCCAUACCCCUCCCUCCCCUGGUCCUCAUAAGAUCCUUGAAGCAGGUUGCUACUCCUCAUUGGCAACACGGCAAACAGAUCACAGGAGUCAAAGGGCCUUGCUCAAGGUCCCCAGCUUCAGCCCCAGGCCCUAAGCCAGCGUCAGAACAGUCGAUCUGCAUUUUUUAUCAGUCAUUCUAUAGUGACAUCAUCCCAGACUGCCUUCUGUAUUCCCCUGUGUACAGUCUCCUUCUGUUUCUAGGUUUAGAAGUUAAGAGGUGACUGGUUUCUCCAUUUCCACAGCCAAACGGGGGAAGAGGUGAGGCUAGGGGAGUGCUGUGCUGAUUCUCCAGCCACAGUCAGACAGGUCACCCGGGAGCCUCAAGGAAAGCCCUGGAGGGAAUCACAUGUGUACUUUUUCAUGAAGCUUUUUGCAAAGCACAUCUGCGAUACACUAGUUUAUUGAACUAUGUCCAGGAGUAGGCGUGAUUGGUGGCCAAGUUAUUUGGGGACACCUAAACAGAUCAGCGACCUGAAUGACUUCUCAGAACCUUUAAUAUGCCAAUGUGUGUGGCAAACUUACAAGAAGGGAGCUAAGUAUCCAGCCUCUCCCAAACCUCUUUGAGCAAAGCUUCUGUACCUCCCACACCUCUCCUCACAGGCACAUCAGGCUGCAGAAUGCGCUUUAUAAAGCAUUGUUUUAGUCUGGGCGCGGUGGCUCACGCCUGUAAUCCCAGCACUUUGGGAGGCCGAGGAGGGUGGAUCACAAGGUCGGGAGAUCGAGACCAUCCUGGCUAACACGGUGAAACCCUGUCUCUACUAAAAAAAAUACAAAAAAUUAGCUUGGCAUGGUGGUGGGUGCCUGUAGUCCCAGCUACUUGCGAGGCUGAGGCUGGAAAAUGGUGUGAACCCGGGAGGCGGAGCUUGCAGUGAGCCAAGAUCGCACCACUGCACUCCAGCCUGGGUGACAGAGAGAGACUCCGUCUCAAAAAAAAAAAAAGAAAAAAGAAAGCAUUGUUUUAAUUGAGAGGGGCAGGGCUGGAGAAGGAGCAAGUUGUGGGGAGCCAGGCUUCCCUCAUGCAGCCUGUGGUGGAUGUGGGAAGGAGAUCAACUUCUCACUCUGGGACAGAUGAUGUAUGGAAACUAAAAAGAACAUGCAGCACCUUA